UACGGGGGGAGCAAGCGUUGUUCGGAUUUACUGGGCGUAAAGCGCGCGUAGGCGGACCUGCAAGUCGGGGGUGAAAGCCCGAGGCUCAACCUCGGAACUGCCUUCGAUACUGCGGGUCUCGAGUCCGGGAGAGGUGAGUGGAAUUCCUAGUGUAGAGGUGAAAUUCGUAGAUAUUAGGAAGAACACCAGUGGCGAAGGCGGCUUUCUGGUCUGUAACUGACGCUGAGGCGCGAAAGCGUGGGGAGCAAACAGG
rnacentral:rRNA from 1 species